rnacentral:rRNA from 1 species
UACAGAGGGGGCAAGCGUUGUUCGGAAUUACUGGGCGUAAAGGGCGCGUAGGUGGCCUGUUAAGUCGAACGUGAAAUCCCCGGGCUCAACCCGGGAACUGCGUCCGAGACUGGCAGGCUUGAAUCCGGGAGAGGGAUGUGGAAUUCCAGGUGUAGCGGUGAAAUGCGUAGAUAUCGGGAAGAACACCCGUGGCUAAGGCGGCUCUCUAGUACGGUACUGACGCUGAGACGCGAAAGCGUGGGGAGCGAACAGG